UAUGUGCAUGCAAUACGGUGGAUAUGAUGAGGUUGGAUGCAUUAUGAGGGACAUUUACAAUUUCUGCCAUGCUAACAAGCAGGAAACAAUUUCUUCCGGGGAUGCUCAAACAAUGAUCAAUCACAUGGUCGCGAGGCAAGAGCAAGAUUCAGAUUUUUUCUUUAGGUACUUGGUUGAUGAAGCUGGCCAUCUGAAGGGACUGUUAUGGUGUGAUAGUCAAUCCCGACUUGACUACGAGGCUUUCGGAGACGUUAUUGUUUUUGAUAGCACAUACAAAACCAAUAAGUACAAUCUGCCAUUUGUGCCGUUUGUCGGGUUGAAUCACCACCGCAACACCAUUAUUUUUGCAUGUGGCAUCAUUUCACAUGAAACAAGCCAGGCAUACGAGUGGAUGUUACGGACCUUUUCUGAUGCUAUGGGACAGAAGCAUCCUAUAUCUGUGAUCACGGAUGGGGACCUUGCAAUGCAAAGAGCAAUCAGGGUGGUGUGGCCUGACUCAAACCAUAGGCUCUGUAUAUGGCACAUUCAGCAGAACAUUGUACGCCAUCUGCAUGAUGACGCGGUAAAGGAGGAAUUCCGAUCUUUCAUAUAUGAUACAUCUUCCAUUGAAGAGCAUGAGAUAAAAUGGUUACACUUCUUACAACGGAAUAAAGUAACAAGUGAGGACUCCUGGCUGCAUCAUAUGUAUAAGAUGAGAAAACUAUGGUGUGCUCCAUAUCUUGAGGGCCGUUGUUUCCUAGGAUUGAGCAGCAAUCAGCGGAGUGAGAGUUUAAACUCAGUGCUACAUACGCAUCUUGAGGCUAAGAUGACGUUGUUUCAAAUGCUAGAGCACUAUGAGCGUUGCCUUGCGUCGCGACGCUUGAAUGAGGCUCUCCAAGACGUCGAGGCCUUGCAGCCCGUUCCGUUCAUAGAGGAAAAUGCUUCAGUUCUUGAGAAACACGCCGCGAAAGUUUUCACUUCUGCUGUGUUUAAGUUGGUCAUAUGGAGUAUAGAUGUUGUCAAAAAAUGUGAGAUCAGAGAGGUACUUGAUGCAGCAGAGGUUACCACAUACGUUGUGUCUAAGAAGGAAAUAAUGGAUAAAAAGAUCGAAGUGCGCACGGAGUCAAAGGAAGGUAUGCUUCGCAGUAUCAGUUGUUCUUGCCGCAAAUUAGAAUGCGCAGGCACACCAUGUUCCCACAUAUUUUAA
rnacentral:rRNA from 1 species